UUCUGAAGCAACUUCCAAACUAGAGUAGUAUCUGCCAUUCGCAUCUUUGAAGUCUCUAAUACCACCUCCAACGGUUAAUGGCACAAAAACAUUCUCUGAUGCAUACCUCAAUACCUGCAACAUUGGCAGAUCACCCAAGGGAAAGUCUCGGAAAGCAGUAAUAUUUAAAAAGCUAACCUCAUCUGCCCCAUCCUUGUAAUACUGUCCAGCAAGAUCCACGGGCUUGCCAAGGUUUCUCACCUCAUUUUCUUCUGUAUUCUCUCUAACAUCGUAUUGGUCUCCUUUGGUUACAACCAAGUCACCCUUAUCAUUUGUCCUCACAUCAAGA
rnacentral:misc_RNA from 1 species